AAUCUUUAACUUAGUGGCGCACGGGUGAGUAACACGUAUCCAACCUGCCGAUAACUCGGGGAUAGCCUUUCGAAAGAAAGAUUAAUACCCGAUGGUAUAAUCAGACCGCAUGGUUUGAUUAUUAAAGAAUUUCGGUUAUCGAUGGGGAUGCGUUCCAUUAGGCAGUUGGUGAGGUAACGGCUCACCAAACCUUCGAUGGAUAGGGGUUCUGAGUGGAAGGUCCCCCACAUUGGAACUGAGACACGGUCCAA
rnacentral:rRNA from 1 species